rnacentral:rRNA from 1 species
AACGAACGCUGGCGGCGUGCCUAACACAUGCAAGUCGAACGCGAAAGGGGGGCAACCCCCGGUAGCGUGGCAGACGGGUGAGUAACACGUGGGUAACCUACCCGGAGGUGGGGGAUAACCCUUCGAAAGGAGGGCUAAUACCGCAUGACACCGUGGGGACCUCGGUCCUUGCGAUCAAAGCUGGCCUCUGUUUACAAGCUAGCGCCACCGGAUGGGCCCGCGCCCCAUUAGCUAGUUGGUGAGGUAACGGCUCACCAAGGCGACGAUGGGUAGCCGGCCUGAGAGGGCGAUCGGCCACACUGGAACUGCGACACGGUCCAGACUCCUACGGGAGGCAGCAGUGAGGAAUCUUGCGCAAGUGGGCGAAAGCCUGACGCAGCGACGCCGCGUGGAGGAUGAAGGUC